UCUUUCGUAUAUAAGGUUUGGAAUGUUGAUAUUUAAAUUCUGUGUAUUGCAGUAAUAAACAAAAUGUUGACAGACACCCACAAAAGUCACUGAAUGGCAUCAACUUUGAAUUUCCUUGACUGUUGUCAUGAUGAAGGACAGAGCCUUUUCAGUUGAUACUGGAGAUGAAACUUGGAUCCAAUACGAAACAAAACAACAAUCACAACAAUGGAUGCAUCCAAAUUGACCAAACAAACAAACAAAAAUUCAAACAAACAUUCAACAACAGAAAGGUUAUGGCUACCAUGUUUUGGGACCAAAAAGAGAGCCCUUUAAAACAAACAAAGAGCAAUGCUGACUUCAGGAAUUGUGUUGAUCCAUGACAAUGCUUGUCCACACACUGUUGGCACAACACAAUGGCUCCUUGAAGCAGGGCAGCACUUUCAAUCCAGUGAGAGAUUGACAAAACAACAUCAAUGCUGAUUUGAAAUCAUUGGUGACAAUGUUUUUUGAAGAGGGUAUUGCAAAGCUUGUCCACAGGUACCAUAAAUGUCUCAGUCUUUUCGGUGGUACGGUGGUGAUGUUGAAAAGUA